rnacentral:rRNA from 1 species
AACGAACGCUGGCGGCAUGCCUAACACAUGCAAGUCGAACGAGACCUUCGGGUCUAGUGGCGCACGGGUGCGUAACGCGUUGGAACCUGCCCUUAGGUUCGGAAUAACUCCCCGAAAGGGGUGCUAAUACCGGAUAAUGUCUUCGGACCAAAGAUUUAUCGCCUUUGGAUGGGCCCGCGUUGGAUUAGCUAGUUGGUAGGGUAAAAGCCUACCAAGGCGACGAUCCAUAGCUGGCCUGAGAGGAUGAUCAGCCACACUGGGGCUGAGACACGGCCCAGACUCCUACGGGAGGCAGCAGUGGGGAAUAUUGGACAAUGGGCGAAAGCCUGAUCCAGCAAUGCCGCGUGAGUGAUGAAGGCCUUAGGGUUGUAAAGCUCUUUUACCCGGGAUGAUAAUGACAGUACCGGGAGAAUAAGCUCCGGCUAACUCCGUG